rnacentral:rRNA from 1 species
GGGAAUUCGAUUAGAGUUUGAUCAUGGCUCAGAACGUACGCUGGCGGCACGCCUAACACAUGCAAGUCGAACGAAGUAGCAAUACUUAGUGGCAGACGGGUGAGUAACAUGUGGGUAUCUGCCCUUUGGCCUGGAAUAACACGAGGAAACUUGUGCUAAUACUGGAUAAGUCUUUACGGAGAAAGCUUUAUGCACCAUUGGAUGAGCCCGCACUUGAUUAGUUUGUUGGUGGGGUAAUGGCCUACCAAGACUGUGAUCAAUAGCUGAUUUGAGAGGAUGAUCAGCCACAUUGGGACUGAGACACGGCCCAAACUCCUACGGGAGGCAGCAGUGGGGAAUCUUGCACAAUGGAGGAAACUCUGAUGCAGCGAUGCCGCGUGAGUGAAGAAGGCCCUUGGGUUGUAAAGCUCUUUCGUCGGGGAAGAAAAUGACUGUACCCGAAUAAGAAGGUCCGGCUAACUUCGUGCCAGCAGCCGCGGUAAUACGAAGGGACCUAGCGUAGUUCGGAAUUACUGGGCUUAAAGAGUUCGUAGGUGGUUGAAAAAGUUGGUGGUGAAAUCCCAGAGCUUAACUCUGGAACUGCCAUCAAAACUUUUCAGCUAGAGUUUGAUAGAGGAAAGCAGAAUUUCUAGUGUAGAGGUGAAAUUCGUAGAUAUUAGAAAGAAUACCAAUUGCGAAGGCAGCUUUCUGGAUCAUUACUGACACUGAGGAACGAAAGCAUGGGUAGCGAAGAGGAUUAGAUACCCUCGUAGUCCAUGCUGUAAACGAUGUGUGUUAGACGUUGGAAAUUUAUUUUCAGUGUCGCAGCGAAAGCGAUAAACACACCGCCUGGGGAGUACGACCGCAAGGUUAAAACUCAAAUGAAUUGACGGGGACCCGCACAAGUAGUGGAGCAUGUGGUUUAAUUCGAAGAUACGCGCAGAACCUUACCAACACUUGACAUGUUCGUCGCGACUUUAAGAGAUUAAAGUUUUCGGUUCGGCCGGACGAAACACAGGUGCUGCAUGGCUGUCGUCAGCUCGUGUCGUGAGAUGUUGGGUUAAGUCCCGCAACGAGCGCAACCCUCACUUUUAGUUGCCAUCAUUUAGUUGGGCACUCUGAAAGAACUGCCAGUGAUAAGCUGGAGGAAGGUGGGGAUGACGUCAAGUCCUCAUGGCCCUUACGUGUUGGGCUACACACGUGCUACAAUGGUAUUUACAACAGGAAGCAAAACAGCGAUGUUAAGCAAAUCCUCAAAAGAUACCUCAGUUCGGAUUGCACUCUGCAACUCGAGUGCAUGAAGCUGGAAUUACUAGUAAUCGUGGAUCAGCGUGCCACGGUGAAUGCGUUCCC